GGAAGGAGCGCCGCGCGGGCGUGGACGUCUGUGCGUGAGCGCGGCUAGCUGCCCAGGGCUGCGCGGUGAGGCCUUCCGGGCCGGACGCGGCGCUGGCAUCAAGGUCCCAGGGCGUGAGGAGUGAGGACGGGCGCCCUUUCGUGACUGGCCCUCCGCGUCCAGUCCGAGAUCGUGGGAACGGCCGUGAGCGUUUGCCUCCCGCGGGUUCACGCCUACCGCCUCCCAGAGCGGUGACCGGGACGCCGAGCCCUGCCGCGGCGAUACCUGAGCGUAUAAAUCAUCCCCCACCCCGACCCCCUUACAGAUGCCGGCAUGCCAUCUGUAGCCUCCAAAAUUUUGAAGCAGGAGGUGUAAUUACCAGCCUGGCUUUUAAAAAUGUAUUCGUUUUUAUUAAAAAUGGCUCAUUCUC